ACGCUCGACACCUACAGGAGGCAGCAGUGGGGAAUAUUGCACAAUGGGGGAAACCCUGAUGCAGCGACGCCGCGUGAAGGAAGAAGUAUUUCGGUAUGUAAACUUCUAUCAGCAGGGAAGAAGAUGACGGUACCUGACUAAGAAGCCCCGGCUAACUACGUACCAGCAGCCGCGGUAAUCUGAGCGGGCUGGCAAGGC
rnacentral:rRNA from 1 species